GACGAACGCUGGCGGCGUGCCUAAUACAUGCAAGUUGAGCGCUGAAGGUUGGUACUUGUACCAACUGGAUGAGCAGCGAACGGGUGAGUAACGCGUGGGGAAUCUGCCUUUGAGCGGGGGACAACAUCUGGAAACGAAUGCUAAUACCGCAUAAAAACUUUAAACACAAGGUUUAAGAUUGAAAGAUGCAAUUGCAUCACUCAAAGAUGAUCUCGCGGUGUAUUAGCUAAUUUGUGAGGUAAAGGCUCACCCAGGCGAUGAUUCAUAGCCGACCUGAGAGGGUGGUCGGCCAACAUGGGACUGAGACACGGCCCAAACCUCCUAGGGGGGGAGCCGUAGGGAAUCUUCCGGCAUGGGCGAAAGUCUGACCGGAGAACGCCGGGGGGAUUAAGAAGGGUUUCGGAUCGUAAAACUCUUUUGAUAAGGAAGGAAGUUGGUGAGAAUGGAAAGCGCAUCAAGUGACGGUAACUACUCAGAAAGGGACGGCUAACUACGUG
rnacentral:rRNA from 1 species